rnacentral:rRNA from 1 species
UUGGAGGGCAAGUCUGGUGCCAGCAGCCGCGGUAAUUCCAGCUCCAAUAGCGUAUAUUAAAGUUGUUGCAGUUAAAAAGCUCGUAGUUGAAUUUCGGGGUUAGUAGGUUGGUCGUGCCUAUGGUAUGCACUGGCUUUACUGAUUCCUCCUUCUUGAAGAACUGUAAUGUCAUUAAUUUGGUGUUGCAGGGAAACAGGACUGUUACUUUGAAAAAAUUAGAGUGUUUAAAGCAGGCUAACGCUUGAAUACAUUAGCAUGGAAUAAUGAAAUAGGACGUUUGAUCCUAUUUUGGUGGUUUCUAGGAUUGACGUAAUGAUUAAUAGGGAUAGUUGGGGGCAUUAGUAUUCAAUUGUCAGAGGUGAAAUUCUUGGAUUUAUUGAAGACUAACUACUGCGAAAGCAUUUGCCAAGGAUGUUUUCAUUAAUCAAGAACGAAAGUUAGGGGAUCGAAGACGAUCAGAUACCGACGUAGUCUUAGCCAUAAACUAUGCCGACUAGGGAUCGGAUGAUGUUAAUUUUAAUGACUCAUUCGGCGCCUUACGUAAA